CGCAGCCGCAGCCCUAGGAGACGCCGUCGCAGCCGAUCUAGAAGCAGGAGCCGCUCUAGAUCCCGCAGUCGGUCCCGUUACAGUCGAUCCAAAUCCCGGUCUCGCACACGCUCUCGGUCUCGCUCCACCUCCAAGUCCAGGUCUGCCAGGAGAUCCAAGUCAAAGUCCUCAUCUGUCUCCAGAUCUCGGUCCAGGUCAAGAUCCCGGUCCAGAUCUAGAAGCCCUCCCCCUGCCUCAAAGAGGGAAUCCAACUCUAGAUCAAGGUCUAAGAGCCCUCCCAAGUCUCCAGAAGAAGAAGGAGCUGUAUCCUCCUAGGAACAUGAUGCAUCACAUAAAUGAGAAUCUCCAUAAAGGACGCCUUUGGGGGGAAAAGAUCGCUUGAGUCUUCAGUCCAUUGGAGAGACCCCUGGCAGAGCAACCAGCUGUUGAAAAGGUUAUUUUGUACCAUUUUGUCUAACUUUUUACUUGUUUAAGUUGCGCCUCAAGUGGCAGAUUUUACAGUUUAUGUGCCAUUUUGUUGCUGUUAUUCAAAUUUCUUGUAAUUUAGUGAAGUGAACGACUACCGAUUUCAUUAUUGGCUUGGAUAUUUGAGGUAAAACUUCAUUUUUGUUUAUAUAGUGCUGACUUUUAUUUGAAAUUAAAACCAAUGGUAACUUGCUGCCUCCAGUUUCAUACUGAGGAAACACGCAGACAUUAUAUGCUGAGUAGCUAACUGUCAAAAAUUAAUCUCAAAUUUGUCUUUAUUCUUUAAACAAAAUUUUGCAGACCUUCAGUUUGAAACAUACUGUAAAUGCUUUUUUUAUUUUUUUUUUUUUUUACUUUAAAUUCAAAUAGUACCUUCAAAUUCAAAUUGGUAGAAAUCUUUUCAGGUGACAGUUGAUAUUUGAAAGGAUUGUUUUAUCAGACUCAAUUCUAAUCUCUUCUCUUAUGUAUUUUUGUGCACUAGGCGCAGUUGUGUAGCAGUUGAGUAAUGCUGGUUAGCUGUUAAGGUGGCGUGUUGCAGUGCAGAGUGCUUGGCUGUUUCCUGUUUUCUCCUGAUUGCUCCUGUGUAACGAUGCCUUGUCGUGCAGAAACAAAUGGCUGUCCAGUUAAUUAAAAUGCCUGACAACUGCACUUCCAGUCACCCGGGCCUUGCGUAAAAAUAAUGGAGCAUACAGUGAGCACAUCUAGCUGAUGAUAUACACACCUUAUUUUUUCCAGAAUGGUAAAACUUACCAACCUACAUAUAUGAACUUACAUAUGAGAAAUGUAAUGUUUAAGAACAGAAAUGGUUCAUUCCUUUGUAAGUACUGAUUGGUGUAUCUUUUGCUUAAGACAUGCUGUACUAUACCCACUGUCUCUGUAGUUAAUAUUAAACAUUUUUCUGUGUUAACUUUUCUCAACUUAAUGUCUGAGUCAGCUUAUUUUUAGCUUGAAAAGAUUUCUGCAAUUACACUGUCAAUGUUUAACUUCUGUAUAGUAACUGAAUGCGUUCUACUGCUUAUAAUUUUUAUCCACUGGGGUUGCUUUUAAAUUACUAUGGGCAAACUUGUAUUGUGACUAACCCAAAUGUUACACGGUGAGUCUUGCACACCAGCCUAUAAACACAGAAUCAGACAGGUCUGUUGGACAUUGUUAAUCGAGAUACACACUGAGGAGUACUAAUUGCAUUUGCUGUCUGCUUGCCCUGACUCAACAGGCUGUUGCUUGAUGGUAGCUAAUCUUAGUGAUGAUUUUUUUUUUUCCUUGAUUUGGAUACCAAAUGGAUUGUAACUUCAACCAUUGUGUGUCAAGGGUUAUUGUAAUGCCUUUGUUAAUUUUAUGCAUGUAUGUUAAAUGGGAAUGGAAACAUCUGAUACUUGCAGUCUGGCUUGAUUGAGGAUUAAAAGUACUUUUCUACAAACUUGAGGAGUUUGUAUGUUCUGGGACUGCAUGGCUAGCAGCAGUCUACUCAGAUUCGUUUAAAAACAAAAGGAACUGGCUUUUGUAUGUGAAUCUUUGGGAAAGAGCUUCAGUCUUGGGAAACAUAUUUUUUUAUCUUGAAAGAGUGCAGUUCACUUUUCUUCCCUAGCUGAAGUUGUGAAUUUAAGCCGGAUCUUGUGGAUUGUCAGGUUGUUAAGCUAUGUUGUGUAGUGGCUUACCUAAUGGAAUUGAGUCUUUGAACUAUUGCGUGGUCUUUGGGGAGGAGCACAAAUUUCUCAAAAGCCAUAGCUAAACAAUUGAACAGCUUUAUUUUUAACAAUGCAUGUUUAAAAAAAAAAAUACUGCUAAAAGGGGAUCUGCUUUCCAAAAAUAUGCCUGAAGUUGGCUGUAAACAGGACUGUUUCCUGCAGAUCCAUGUUACAGUGAACAGUUAAAUAUCAUCUUGUAUUGGAACCAACAAGUGGAAUAAACUUAAGUACCAUCUGA